rnacentral:lncRNA from 1 species
AUGCGUGUAUAUGUACUGCUGCAUGGGAGAGAAGUGUCCUUUCCGUGGACAGAAUCUGGGCAGUGUCCUGUGGGUAAGUACACUCAGGAUCCAUCUGAAGCUGCACAAAAGUGGAGUUCCCGGCCUCUGAAGGGACGAAGGAUACACUCAGUAUCUAUAUUCCUCAUUUUAUUCUAUCUCAUCAAAAAAAAAAAAAAAGCAUUGUAUUUUGCCAUUUGUUUUUUGUCCUUUAUAUUAAUGUUUUUCAAAGUCCAUUUCCCUUAUUUCCUUAGUGUGCAAAAAGUAUUUUCUUUGUAUGUUUCCCCCCUUGUUUUGGUUGUCUGGUAUUAUUGGAACGAAAUAAUAUUUUAUUCUGUUUUUCUCUGCUGGUUGUCUUUUAACAUGACACACUCAGGAAAACACAUUAAAUUCCACCUCGUUACUUGUUGUUACAAAGGAGAAAUAUUUGUUUUAACGACAAUAAAAAAAGCUGGAAUGUUCUAGCUAUAUUCCAGAAAUCAGAUGUAAUGAAUUGAUUGAAUGGAGAAUACAUUCUGAGGACAAAAUCCUUUAAAAAUUUCAGUCUCAGGGGUUAGCAGAGCAGUCACCAACAUCUUUGCCUGAUUCUUGUGACUAAGAAAAAAUAUUGAGGGUUUCACAGGGCAACAAAGAAGAGUUCUGUAAAAUGAUUUUCUUCUUUGACAAGAAUCCAGCUACUCAGAGUAGGAGAGUAAACUUUUUCCUUAACUGGAAUGGGUCUCUGAGGAAGAGGAGUAUAGCUAGCAGUUCAUUAUCCUGCCUGCUCAGUGCUCUUUAAGGUAACAGACUACCAUUUUUUCAACACCAAAGGGAUAGGCAAGUCUUCUAGAGAAAUUAAACUUGCUGGCUUUAUGCUGAAUGAGACUUCCUUGCAGUAAGUAUGCAAUGACUGGUUUUCCUAAGUACUUUGCACUACAAUUGAUUUAUUACUGCCAUAUAUGGGGGCAAGGCUAGGAGGGAAAUGGUUCAUUACAGUCAGAGCUAACUAUUGCCAACUACUUCUUUCUUAUUCCAUCUACGCUGUGGGAAGCUGCACAACCACUGUUUGCUGUAAAGGUCCGGGCAAGAGGGUCCUGUCUCCAUGGAGAAAAGGCACAACGCCUCUACCAACUUUAUGGCUGCUUCUUAAGCCAAUUAUUUUAAUAUUUUAGCAGCUCACCUCUGCAUAAUGGUAACUAGGUUUUAUGAUGAAAUAUUUAUGAAGGUUGAAAAACAG